rnacentral:tRNA from 1 species
GGUGAGAUGGCCGAGCGGUCUAAGGCGCCAGACUAAGGAUCAGGACAGUUUAUGUCCACUAUUCUCCUCCCUCUUAGGAGCGGGUAUCUGGUCCUCCGGGGCGUGGGUUCGAAUCCCACUCUCAUCA